rnacentral:rRNA from 1 species
ACGCUCGACACCUACGGGAGGCAGCAGUAGGGAAUCUUCCACAAUGGACGCAAGUCUGAUGGAGCAACGCCGCGUGAGUGAAGAAGGUCUUCGGAUCGUAAAACUCUGUUGUUAGAGAAGAACACGAGUGAGAGUAACUGUUCAUUCGAUGACGGUAUCUAACCAGCAAGUCACGGCUAACUACGUGACAGCAGCCGCGGUAAUCUGAGCGGGCUGGCAAGGC